UACGAAGGGGGCUAGCGUUGCUCGGAAUCACUGGGCGUAAAGGGUGCGUAGGCGGGCCUUUAAGUCAGGGGUGAAAUCCUGGAGCUCAACUCCAGAACUGCCUUUGAUACUGAGGAUCUUGAGUUCGGGAGAGGUGAGUGGAACUGCGAGUGUAGAGGUAAAAUUCGUAGAUAUUCGCAAGAACACCAGUGGCGAAGGCGGCUCACUGGCCCGAUACUGACGCUGAGGCACGAAAGCGUGGGGAGCAAACAGG
rnacentral:rRNA from 1 species